rnacentral:rRNA from 2 species
UAUAACAGCGGAGAGUUUGAUCCUGGCUCAGGAUGAACGCUAGCGGCAGGCUUAACACAUGCAAGUCGAGGGGCAUCGGGAGGG